rnacentral:tRNA from 1 species
ACAUACGUAGUCCAACGGCAAGGAUAUAUCGCUCUCACCGAUGAGACCCGGGUUCACUUCCCGGGGUUUCUU